rnacentral:rRNA from 1 species
CACGUAGGGGGCGAGCGUUGUCCGGAUUUAUUGGGCGUAAAGAGCUCGUAGGCGGCUCAGUAAGUCAGGUGUGAAAACUCCAGGCUCAACCUGGAGACGCCACUUGAUACUGCUGUGGCUAGAGUCCGGUAGGGGAGCAUGGAAUUCCUGGUGUAGCGGUGAAAUGCGCAGAUAUCAGGAGGAACACCAGUGGCGGAAGGCGGUGCUCUGGGCCGGAACUGACGCUGGAGGAAGCGAAAGCGUGGGGAGCAAACAGG